AGGGGCGUAGCUCAAUUGGCAGAGCACUGGUCUCCAAAACCAGGGGUUGUGAGUUCGAGUCCCACCGCCCCUG
rnacentral:tRNA from 1 species